rnacentral:rRNA from 1 species
GAUCAUGGCUCAGGAUGAACGCUAGCGGCAGGCUUAACACAUGCAAGUCGAGGGGCAACGCGAGUAGCAAUACUUGGCGGCGACCGGCGCAAGGGUGCGUAACGCGUGAGCAACAUGCCCGUAUCAGGGGGAUAAUCCAGGGAAACUUGGUCUAAUACCCCAUAGUAAUUUUGUAAGGCAUCUUAUAAGAUUUAAAGCUUUGGUGGAUACGGAUUGGCUCGCGUGACAUUAGCUGGAUGGUAAGGUAACGGCUUACCAUGGCUAUGAUGUCUAGGGGUUCUGAGAGGAAGGUCCCCCACACUGGAACUGAGACACGGUCCAGACUCCUACGGGAGGCAGCAGUGAGGAAUAUUGGACAAUGGAUGGAAAUCUGAUCCAGCCAUGCCGCGUGAAGGAAGAAGGUCCUAUGGAUUGUAAACUUCUUUUGUAUGGGAGCAAUAAGGCCUACGAGUAGGUUGAUGAGAGUACCAUACGAAUAAGCACCGGCUAACUCCGUGCCAGCCGCGGC